UUGAAGAAUUUGAAAACCUCAACAUGCAGACUUGAAGAAUCUGAAGACUUCAGCUUUCAAAUUGAAAGAACUUGAAGACUUCAACU
rnacentral:pre_miRNA from 1 species